CUGGUCUGAGAGGAUGAUCAGCCACACUGGGACUGAGACACGGCCCAGACUCCUACGGGAGGCAGCAGUGGGGAAUUUUCCGCAAUGGGCGAAAGCCUGACGGAGCAACGCCGCGUGAGGGAUGAAGGCCUCUGGGCUGUAAACCUCUUUUCUCAAGGAAGAAGACCUGACGGUACUUGAGGAAUAAGCCACGGCUAAUUCCGUGCCAGCAGCCGCGGUAAUACGGGAGUGGCAAGCGUUAUCCGGAAUUAUUGGGCGUAAAGCGUCCGCAGGUGGCCCUGUAAGUCUGUCGUUAAAGCGUGGAGCUUAACUCCAUUUAAGCGAUGGAAACUACAGGGCUAGAGUGUGGUAGGGGCAGAGGGAAUUCCCGGUGUAGCGGUGAAAUGCGUAGAUAUCGGGAAGAACACCAGUGGCGAAGGCGCUCUGCUGGGCCAUCACUGACACUCAUGGACGAAAGCCAGGGGAGCGAAAGGGAUUAGAUACCCCUGUAGUCCUGGCCGUAAACGAUGAACACUAGGUGUCGGGGGAAUCGACCCCCUCGGUGUCGUAGCCAACGCGUUAAGUGUUCCGCCUGGGGAGUACGCACGCAAGUGUGAAACUCAAAGGAAUUGACGGGGGCCCGCACAAGCGGUGGAGUAUGUGGUUUAAUUCGAUGGAACGCGAAGAACCUUACCAGGGUUUGACAUCCUGCGAAUCCCUUGGAAACGAGGGAGUGCCUUCGGGAGCGCAGAGACAGGUGGUGCAUGGCUGUCGUCAGCUCGUGUCGUGAGAUGUUGGGUUAAGUCCCGCAACGAGCGCAACCCACGUCGUUAGUUGCCAGCAUUCAGUUGGGCACUCUAGCGAGACCGCCGGUGAUAAACCGGAGGAAGGUGUGGAUGACGUCAAGUCAUCAUGCCCCUUACAUCCUGGGCUACACACGUACUACAAUGCUACGGACAAAGGGCAGCAAACUCGCGAGAGCUAGCAAAUCCCAUAAACCGUGGCUCAGUUCAGAUCGUAGGCUGCAACUCGCCUACGUGAAGGAGGAAUCGCUAGUAAUCGCAGGUCAGCAUACUGCGGUGAAUACGUUCCCGGGCCUUGUACACACCGCCCGUCACACCAUGGAAGUUGGCCACGCCCGAAGUCGUUACUCCAACCCUUGUGGAGGAGGACGCCGAAGGUGGGGCUGAUGACUGGGGUGAAGUCGUAACAAGGUAGCCGUACCGGAAGGUGCGGCUG
rnacentral:rRNA from 1 species